GGCUGCCUGUGCCAUCACUGUCCCUCUCCUGCCUGGCCUCAGAGGGAGUCUGCUGAGAAAAAUGUCUGGCUUUCCCCUUCCUGCUUCCUCUUGACUAAAAAUGAGAUUGUAAUCUCUCCCAGGGCUGAGAUCCUGCUGCCAUCACAUCUCUUCAAGAACCCUGUCCCAAAACGGAGGAUUCCUGCAAAACUACAAAACAAAAAGACAAUGACAAUCACAUUAAUAUAUCAUAUUAUUAAUUACAAGAGGCAUAAUAAAUAAUAAUUUUUAUCUUGC